CGAGUACUCCUUUCUUCCUCACAAAGAAGAAAAGGUUAUUGCCGCCAUGGCGCUCCUCAGGAGCUCUAAGAUAAGGAUCAUGAGCUUAACCACUGCUGUUGUAUUGGUUCUUGUGAUCACGUCCUCCACCUUCCCAUCAUGCCAAGCUGGGGAGAGUAAGCACCCUACUUUUGCAUAUGCUGCAUACCUUUUGUACAUGUUCAUAUUCUUUAGUUAACAAGCAAAUCUUGUUUGAUUUUGUUCGGUCUCAUGUGUAGUCAUCAAAGGCCAUGGCUCGCCAUCACUGUUGUCGGUGACAUGCUACACUUACCGAUUUUGUGACGCUAAGGGGUGCGAAAGCCAUUGUGAACACAAAGGCAAGAAGAAAGGGAGCUGCAGAACAGAUGGUGUAGACCCACAGCAGUGCUGCUGCGAAGACUAGGCAUUGUAAGGGGGUAUUGGAUACUCCUCGCUAAACUUUAGCACCUGUCACAUCGGAUGUUUGGAUACUAAUUAGAAGUAUUAAACAUAGUCUAAUUAUAAAAUUAAUUGCACAGAUGGAGUCUAAUUCGCGAGACGAAUAUAUUAAGACUAAUUAAUCCAUCAUUAGCAAAUGUAGCACCAUAUUGUCAAAUCAUAAACUAAUUAGGCUUAAUAGAUUCGUCUCGCGAACUAGACUCCAUCUGUGCAAUUAAUUUUAUAAUUAGCUCAUAUUUAGUCCUCCUAAUUAGCAUCCGAACAUCCGAUGUGAUCCUGCUAAAGUUUAGCACCUCGUAUCCAAACACCCUUGAUGCAUCUUCUUGAC
rnacentral:lncRNA from 1 species